rnacentral:siRNA from 1 species
UAGAUUGUCCUGCUAUGGGGUGAU